CGGGGCGUAGCUCAGUCUGGUAGAGUGCUUGCUUUGGGAGCAAGAUGUCGAAGGUUCGAACCCUUUCGCCCCGACCA
rnacentral:tRNA from 1 species